UAAUUUAGGGUAAUGUGAUUGUUUAAAACAUAAAAGAAGUUCAUUUUAUGAAUUAAGUUUAUAAAUAACAAUAUUUGGCCAAACAGAGAUGGAGAAUUUUAUAAAGUAAAAGUAUUAAAAUUUAUGUACCUUUGGUAUCAGGGGGGAAGGACUAAGGAAUUGGAUUAAGGUAUCCCGAAUAUGGGGGAUCUCUGAUGCCAUAAUGGUUUUGUUAAAUUAAGACUUAGAAUAGCUUCAGAGUAAUGAAAAGUUAUUCGUCUCCAUAGAUAUCUGGUUACUACAAACCUUUCUUCUUAAGGAAGAAGAUACUCAAAGGGUUAAGCUUUUGGGGACAUCAAACUUUAAAUGGGCUCUUUUAAUUUGGGGUUAAAUUGAAUUUAUUUGUUCUGUUGACUUGGAAAGAAGUAACUUUCUUUAACAAUACAAUGAAAUCUUAUAAUCUUCCCAUUAGUAAACAAUAAAUUAACUUCAAGGAACUCGGCAACAAUGGGGUUGGAAUGUUUAUUAAAAACAUUUCCUCUUGAGUAAAAUAUGAGGUAAAUCCUGCUCACUGCCUUUAGGUGAAGAGCCGCGGUAUUUUGACCGUGCUAAGGUAGCAUAAUAACUUGCUUUUUAAUUGAAAGCUAGAAUGAAUGGUUUAACUCGACUCUAACUGUCUCGGGGUUAGUGGGUUGAAUUUAAAUUCUGAGUGAAAAUGCUCAGAUGAAGGAGAGGGACGAGAAGACCCUAUAGAUCUUUACUUAUCCUAAUCUUAGGGGUUAAAGGGUGAGAUUACCUGGGAAGGGGCUUCCAAACAUCUUAUACUAAAAAGCUUAUAGGCUCAACGUGAUGAUCCAGUAAAUUUGAAAUUAGAAGAAGUUACCUUAGGGAUAACAGCGUUAUUGUCUUCUUUAGACCGUAUGGAGCAAGACAGCUUGCGACCUCGAUGUUGAAUUAAGUUUAGCUAUUCUCGGAGAAUAGAAUAAGCCUUAGUCUGUUCGACUAUUAAAAACUUACAUGAUUUGAGUUUAGACCGACGUGAGUCAGGUCAGAUUCUAUCUUCUCCUUUUAUCUUCUUCUCAGUACGAAAGGACAAGAAGGAGGGAUUUCAUCU
rnacentral:rRNA from 1 species